rnacentral:lncRNA from 1 species
GGAGGAGGGUUCAGGAUGGGGAACACGUGUAUAUCUGUGGUGGAUUCAUUUUGAUAUAUGGCAAAACCAAUACAAUAUUGUAAAGUUAAAAAAUAAAAUAAAAAAAAUAAAUAGGUCUCCUAUGACUCUGUAACUUAAUAUACUGGUCACUUGGAAAAGAUUGAUUCACUGGGUUAUCCACAUCUUCCAAAUGCUGGCACAUUUCAUUAUCUAAUAUAUAGACAUAUGUAAAAAUCACAUUUAUUGAUAAAACCACUGAUCUCAUCAUGAAAAUCUUUACGUUUUGAGAGACUGUCAAACUCAUGGUAGCAGAGCCAAAUUUUUCAAAUUCUAAUUUUUGCUCGAAAGUUCCAGUUUUAUUACACUAACACAUCCUACUGGUUUUCCUUGAAGUAAAAGUUUAACUCUGUUUAUUUUCAAGAUAGAUGUCUGCCUUAUAUACUGUAGCAUGAGUAUCCAUAAUUGAGCUGUUAUUUGUUCUUUCAAGUAAAAAUGGUGUUUCUAUGAAAAAAGUGGCUAGUUCAAUUUACUCUUCAAUCACGCAAGUGCUUUUCCUUGAGAGGAUCAUGGUUGAGAUCGAAUGAAAUGAAUAGCUUCCAUCGCUUCACAUUUUCGUUUGAAAAGAAUACAGCAUGAGAAGCGCAGGGGCUGCUAGUGCAGUGUGCUGCCGCCUCCCUGGUGCCCGCUAACGUACGAAUAGUCUGACCCACUGUUGUUCUAGGGUCACUGGGGUAAAUAUCAGUGCAGCGAGGAAGGGGAGGAUCUGGGGAUACUUGGUUGGUGGGAGGCUUCUUGUGGUGGGUGGUUCAGGGUGUAUUAUCAUGGACUGCAAUGUUAUAUCAUGACUGGAAAUAGUCAUGACCUCAUGGAGCCCCUGCAGGGUCUUGGGAACCCCCAGGUUCCUUGGAACGUUCUUCGAGAACCACUGUCUCAGGCAAUACGUUACUUGAAGCAGCCUGUGUUAUCUGUCUGCUUUUCUUUUUCCUUCCUUCUUUUCCACAGAAGGUCUCUUGGAAGAAGCCAGGCUGGAUGUGGGGCCUCCUGGCCCAGGGCUCCUGGCUUUGCUCUUCUCUCUGAAAAACCAGGGCCCAGCCUCCGUUCCCGGGGCGAGAGUGCCCUCUAGUGCCCGGGAGGGUGAAGGCCGAGGAGGAGGGCAGGGCCAGAGGCCAAGCCUGAAAGGAGGCCCUGCCAGCCAAUGAGGGGUGAGCCGGCCGCAGCUUGACUUGUGGAGCUGGGAUAGCAAGGGACCCACAGGUAUUUCCACAGGUAUUUCUAAGUGUGUGUGUGUGUGUGUGUGUGUGUGUAGCUAUGUUUCU